rnacentral:rRNA from 5 species
GCGAUUAGGUCGGGAACUCAAAGGAGACUGCCAGUGAUAAACUGGAGGAAGGUGGGGAUGACGUCAAGUCAUCAUGGCCCUUACGACCAGGGCUACACACGUGCUACAAUGGCGCAUACAAAGAGAAGCGACCUCGCGAGAGCAAGCGGACCUCAUAAAGUGCGUCGUAGUCCGGAUUGGAGUCUGCAACUCGACUCCAUGAAGUCGGAAUCGCUAGUAAUCGUGGAUCAGAAUGCCACGGUGAAUACGUUCCCGGGCCUUGUACACACCGCCCGUCACACCAUGGGAGUGGGUUGCAAAAGAAGUAGGUAGCUUAACCUUCGGGAGGGCGCUUACCACUUUGUGAUUCAUGACUGGGGUGAAGUCGUAACAAGGUAACCGUAGGGGAACCUGCGGUUGGA